CUCCUUUGCUCGCAGGACUCAGCUGGUGAAGGAUAUGUGGAGCAGUCUCUGUAUGUUAUUUUAAACCAGUACGGCAGGUAAAACCCUUUAUUGAGCCUUUAUUGUUCUCAGGAAUGAGGGCUCUCCUAUCAAAUCUAUUCCGUAAAAAACUGAAAACUGUCUCUAAAGCUCAGAAGAGAGAUGGACAGAUGGAGAAGCCGUUGCCUGGAAGACAGCCACAGACGUCAUGUGAGUGGGAGGGCAUAUAGAAGGGAGAAAGGUAGCCAAGAGAGGAACUGGAAAGGACCCCAGACUGGAUGGGAUGAUCAGAGGGGAUAGUUGAAAUAGAUCAAGACAGAUUUGACAAGGCAACUAAAGGAGAGAGGACAAUUUUGCUCUGGGAUUUAACCAAAGAGGAAGCAUGGAGAAAGAAUCACAAGAAGACGGAACAAGGGCAUUGAACUCACCAGUGUAAUCACCGAUGCCUGCCAUCCAGCCUCUGUCUGCAUACGGAUGAAGUCUUCACUGGCUUUGGAGUCAAGCUUCAGAAAGCUGGCAUGGGUAAAACCCUCAUGUACCUUAUUCUGUCCACUCUCACCUUGAGACUUUUCCUCCAUGCAAAGCAACGGUGUGGAGCCUUCUAAAGGCUCUCAACAUUAUCAAAGAACCAAAAAUAAAUCCAGAUUGCCUUGUAAGUGU
ensembl:lincRNA Gm4265 uncharacterized LOC110297310